GGAGCAAGAAAGGUGCUCCUGGGUGGCUGCUGCAGCAGCUCCAGCUCCAGUAUCUGGACAGAGCCAUCACUAGCAGGGACCAGGGGAGCAAGGACGGUGUCCCUGGCUGGCUACUGGGACUCAAGCAAGGCUUCAGCUUGAGGUUCUGCAUGAGUUCCAGGAUCUCAUCUUAAGAAAUGCUACCAUGCUGCACCACAGGAACCUAGAUUAACCUGUCUCCAAUUGGGGAGGAGCGGGGAACAAAUACAACUGGCUAGUCUUGGGAAGAAUAAAACUGAUAGCUUGGACCAUUCAACAAGGUGCUCUCCUUGGGCAAACAGACUAACCAUUUCAUUAACUCAGAAGGUACAAAGGCAUAAGAAGGAAGUGCAAAAGGGAGAAGAGAGAAAGUGGAAGAGCUGUAGGCUGGUAGAGCCACAGUCACAGGCGGACUCUCCCCUGCUGGGCUCAGGAGCCUUCAAGCCCCAGAAUACUGUUAAAGCUGGUACAUGAUCUGUAACAGUGGUGGGAAUGAACUUUGUUUAUCCAUCAUUGGGUAUUCUACCUGAAGAAGGUCUCUGAAUAGUUUGUCUGGAAAGAGGCAGGAGUGGAACGUGCCCUUGCCACAAUCCAUUAGAGUGUUAGUUGUUUCCAGGCACGUCGCUGGCUAAGCUUUAUGUACUCAUAGUAUCAAGGCCAAGAUUUUAGAUAUCCAAUCCGAAACGCCUUAAGGGUUCCUGGUUUAAAGAAGUUGGGAAGGAAACUCAGCACUUCCGGAAACUCAGUCCCUUUGAAGGUGUCUCAAGUUGGGCACCCAAAAAUCACUAGUAACUUCUGAAAAUCAUGACCCUAGUUCUUUGCCGUUAACACCCCUAUGCCUAGAGCUGGUUUGACUAUUUUAUCCAAAAAAACUAUUUCAAGGGG